rnacentral:rRNA from 1 species
AGGCUUAACACAUGCAAGUCGAGCGGGGGAGAUUGCUUCGGUAACUGACCUAGCGGCGGACGGGUGAGUAAUACUUAGGAAUCUGCCUAUUAAUGGGGGACAACAUCUCGAAAGGGAUGCUAAUACCGCAUACGCCCUACGGGGGAAAGCAGGGGAUCACUUGUGACCUUGCGUUAAUAGAUGAGCCUAAGUCGGAUUAGCUAGUUGGUGGGGUAAAGGCCUACCAAGGCGACGAUCUGUAGCGGGUCUGAGAGGAUGAUCCGCCACACUGGGACUGAGACACGGCCCAGACUCCUACGGGAGGCAGCAGUGGGGAAUAUUGGACAAUGGGGGGAACCCUGAUCCAGCCAUGCCGCGUGUGUGAAGAAGGCCUUAUGGUUGUAAAGCACUUUAAGCGAGGAGGAGGCUCUUGUAGUUAAUACCUACGAUGAGUGGACGUUACUCGCAGAAUAAGCACCGGCUAACUCUGUGCCAGCAGCCGCGGUAAUACAGAGGGUGCGAGCGUUAAUCGGAUUUACUGGGCGUAAAGCGUGCGUAGGCGGCUUUUUAAGUCGGAUGUGAAAUCCCCGAGCUUAACUUGGGAAUUGCAUUCGAUACUGGGAAGCUAGAGUAUGGGAGAGGAUGGUAGAAUUCCAGGUGUAGCGGUGAAAUGCGUAGAGAUCUGGAGGAAUACCGAUGGCGAAGGCAGCCAUCUGGCCUAAUACUGACGCUGAGGUACGAAAGCAUGGGGAGCAAACAGGAUUAGAUACCCUGGUAGUCCAUGCCGUAAACGAUGUCUACUAGCCGUUGGGGCCUUUGAGGCUUUAGUGGCGCAGCUAACGCGAUAAGUAGACCGCCUGGGGAGUACGGUCGCAAGACUAAAACUCAAAUGAAUUGACGGGGGCCCGCACAAGCGGUGGAGCAUGUGGUUUAAUUCGAUGCAACGCGAAGAACCUUACCUGGUCUUGACAUAGUAAGAACUUUCCAGAGAUGGAUUGGUGCCUUCGGGAACUUACAUACAGGUGCUGCAUGGCUGUCGUCAGCUCGUGUCGUGAGAUGUUGGGUUAAGUCCCGCAACGAGCGCAACCCUUUUCCUUAUUUGCCAGCACUUCGGGUGGGAACUUUAAGGAUACUGCCAGUG